AACCCGACCCGGCUGCGAUGCAGAGCUGGGAGGUUUUGCUGGACUGUUUGACCUGAAGGCGGCCGGGUUUGUUGACCCGAUCCUGGUUUCUGGGACAGACGGUGUUGGAACUAAGCUGAAGAUCGCCCAGGCCUGUGGCCGUCAUGGCGGUCUGGGUCAGGACUUGGUUGCCGUGUGUGUGAACGAUGUUUUGGCUCACGGCGCCGAGCCGCUCUUCUUCCUGGACUACUUCUCUUGCGGCAGUCUGGAUGUAGAAGUUGCCGCCUCCAUCGUCAGCGGCGUCGCCAAGGCGUGUGAGGCGGCCGGCUGCGCCCUGCUGGGUAAAAACCGACCUGAUGCAGCCAGAUGGUCAACCACACGGACUUCAUGAUGAUUCUGAACCAUCUGACAGGCGGUGCAGAGCCUAAGCUGAGGAGAGAGACCCAGGGUCACUCACUCGACCCCUAAGCCAGGGGUCGGCAACCAAUGGCUCCGGAGCCACGUGUGGCUCUUUCAUCCUCCUUGUGGCUCCCAGUGACUUUGGGAAAUAGAAUAUCUUAUUAAAAUUAAAUCAUUAAUGAACUAUAAAUUAAACGCAUUUUAUAAUACAUUUCUAAAUCUGAAGAUUAUGGUGAACCUGUAACAGUGAACAUCCUAUUUAGGCUGGCUCUAUCUCUCUGCACGCACGGGUCUUGAACCCAGGUUAAAUAGGCCACAUGCACAGACUCAAACCACUGUGCCACCGGAGCGCCCAACACAUGCAUCGCUCGAACUUCUACAAAUACUAUGCUACUUCACAUAAGAUCUAAAAACCAUGCAAUGACCUGGACUUGAACCCAGGAUGCACGUAUCCAAAGCACAGACUCUAUCCAUUGUGCCAACCAAGCAACUGACAACUAAUGCAUCCAAACUUCUACAAAUACCACUACAUAGGUUUGGCUUACAAAAUUCUGAUACCGGGUAAUAAGCUGGACUCGAACCCAGGAUGCAUUUGUCCAAAACACAGACACUAUCCAUUGUGCCAACCAAGCAACUGACAACUGAUCGAUUCAAACUUGUACAAAUACAGCUAUGUAGGUUUUGCUUGGACUUGAAUCCAGGAUCAAUGUUUUUGAAAGCAUAGACACAAACCACAGUUCCAAACCAGCAACCAAUUUCUUACGUGAUUGAACUUGUACAAAUACAAGGUAGGGUUUCAUAUAAAAGUUUAACACCAUGCCAGGGCCUCUUCAUGUGUGGAAGACCACAGGAUUUUUAUUCAAUCUCCAUGGGGAUUUCCCAUCACCCAUUGCUUCCUCUAAAAGAAUAUAGCUAUUCUAUUCGUCCGGUGAAUAAAAAUCUAUUUGAGAUGAAGUUUCCUAUUAAAACAAUCAUAUUGAACAUGAGGUAAUUCUUUUCAUUUUUAAUCAAGAAAUUAAUGAAACCUUUAUAAACAUUAGACCACACGCCUUUGAAAACAAUAAAUACUGUAGGAUUAUUUGUUUUUGACAGAAACUCAGGAGGCUCCUUUACCUUCUUCA